UACGGAGGAUCCAAGCGUUAUCCGGAUUUAUUGGGUUUAAAGGGUGCGUAGGUGGCUUAAUAAGUCAGGGGUGAAAGACAUCGGCUCAAUCGAUGCAGUGCCUUUGAUACUGUUAAGCUUGAAUUAUGUUGAAGAUGGCGGAAUGAGACAAGUAGCGGUGAAAUGCAUAGAUAUGUCUCAGAACACCGAUUGCGAAGGCAGCUGUCUAAACAUGGAUUGACACUGAUGCACGAAAGCGUGGGGAUCAAACAGG
rnacentral:rRNA from 1 species